UGGGCUGGAGGCAAACGUCCGCAGAGGAGUUGACGGUUGCCCUGGGAGACUUCCAAGGCUGUUUUCCUUCUUUGCUCCCACUGGAGGAAGGAAAACAAAAAUAAAAAUAAAGCUAGAACUAGAUUCUGAAAGCUACUAACACAGGGAGUAUAAAGAAGUCAAAAGAUUCCAGUUCUUAAUACUCAUUUGGAAGCAGAUGAAACAAUAUUCCAAGUAAAUUGCAAAGAAGAGGAAAAAAAGAACAGAGUAUGCUGGAUAUGAGGCAGUUCAAAGAAGGCAGAGAUAAGCCUCAUUUGACUGAAGGGAAGAUCCAGACAGCCUUCCACUGACUGAUAAGAGUUAAACAGCUCUAGCUCUAUACAUACUACCUAGAACAGUAGUACUUAUCGCUUGGAAGCAUUUCACAAAUGAAUGGAAUGAGGAGCUUGAACCUCAGUGACCAGAACAAUCUCAGUUUCUAAAGCCAUAAAUAUCCCUUUUAUCUUUUCUAAUAAGUCAGUUGCCUCUGGGUCUAUUGGAUCUAUGUAGCUUCUGCUGCUGAAAUAGACUCGCAGACUCAAUUCACAUUAAUACCACACUGGAGCUUCCUUUCUGAGCACAGAAUGGUCUGACUGAUGUGAUCUGGCUCCAAGAUCAUACAGGCACAAGAAGAGAUGUGACAGCUUUUCAGAGACCCAGAAAAUUAUGAUCUCUUCCUAGAUAUAUGGAAUGUUGAAACUGACCAGGACAAAAAAAAAAAAAUAAGAAAGAGAGAAAAACAGAGGGCGAGAGGAGGAAAAAAGGCAUAGGUGGCUAAAUACCAAAAGAAAAGGAAGAGUUGACAAGAACCAAGGAACCAACAUCACUGAUUUGGGGUUGUUGUUACUGUUUAAACCACACGAAGUCAAGGGAAAAUACACAGCCUUGAGGAACACAGGACCAGGAGGUGCCAGUUCGUGGGCAUGAAGCAGGAGGUUAUUUUCAUCCCAGACCAACCCUCCAAGAUGUCCGCCAUGAGUCACCAGGGUUGCUUCUUCUCACAGGUGGCUUUCACAGGGUAGCUAAAGAUCAGACUCACAGUGGAUUAUCCCACUUGACUAGUAAAGACAAGAGAAGGUAUGUUUGACAAGUUUAGGUAUGUACACAGAAGAAAUAUAAAUAAGCAAUUCAAAGUCAUCACUGGCAACUCAAUUGUAGAUGGGUAACCUGUGAGAGGAGAACUGGAAAGUGAUGGUGGGUCAUAGAGGCUGAAGAAGAGUGUUUUUAACGAAGUUUUUAAAAAUCCAUGCCUGCCACCUGUGGACAUACUACACAGGCAACUACUAUGACUCACUAGUCACACAUGCGCUGCUUAAAUUAUAAACCCUUCAUUUUACAAAUUAGAAAACUGAAGCUCAAGUUUCCUAAAAUCUAUCUACUUUUUCAGUAAGUAGCAGAGCUGGAUUACAGUCCAAGUUUUCUACAUCCUGUUUCAGUUCUCUUUUUCACUUGGUCUUGGCUAACAUAUCCAGGAUCUGAAUUGUUUUAAAGUAUAUGAAAAUAAUUACCUCUUUUAAUUUAUUGAGCACAUUCUAGGUUACAGGUAUUAUAAUAGAUACUUUACUUUUAAUAUCCCAUGCAAUUUCACAAUGGCUUAAAUGAGAUAGAUGCUAUUAUACCUGUAUUACAUGAGUAAAGCCAUGCUUGGUAUAUUGAAUUAUGUGUGGCAUAAAAUCAAAUUAGAAAGUAGUAAAACCCCAUCCUGAAUUACAUCUGUCUAAAUUCUACUAGAAGGGGCAAAUUAUGAAGAUUAACUGUGACAAAAAGAUGUGUACUUUACCCUCUUUCUCUUCAUCUCUAUUACUAUUUUCUUAGUUCAAAGUUUAUUUUACUUAGACUAUUGCAAUAGCUUCCUAGCCAAUCUACUUUCAUCUAUGCUUUGCUAGUCUAUCUUCUAUACUUCCAACAGGGUGUUUUUAAUAUGCGUAACUCAUUACAAAAUUCUGUUGUUUCCAAAGUCACAUAAUAGUGUCUGAAAGAGAACUAAAGAUCCUGGUCUUUUUAACUUUAGCAAACUUAAAUUAAAAAGUACUUGUGAUUCACUUAGGUUUAUUCCACGAAUUCAAGGAUGGUUUGCCUUAGAAAUUCUAUUAUUGUAAAUGAACACAUUAACAGACUGAAAAAAGCAAUAUGAUAAUUUCAAUAGAUAGAAAAAAAUGUUUUUUUAAUUCAAUCCCAAAUAAUAAUAAAAAUUUUAAGCUACUGAAGAGACAUCUGCAUUUACAUGUUUAUUACAACA